rnacentral:lncRNA from 1 species
AUGGAAUCCCUCAGCCUACAGGGCAACAGCAUACGUUAAAAUACAAAUAUGCCCAGCCAAUCAGAGAAAUUGAGAGUGGAGCAGCACUGAUGAUCCUUUCGUGAAAGUUCGUACGUCGAAUUUCGUUGCCGAUUAGCUACGGAAAUUGAAAAUCAAGGCAUUGGUUUUGUUUAACUCAUAGAGAAAUAAAUAUUAAAUUUUAAUUAUACUUUUAAUUACUCUAUGGUUUAACUUAACCUAUAUUGCAGAUUUUAUUUGCUUUGCUUGCUUCCUAAUAAUUGAUUUAAUUAUCAACAAUUAUAUCAACUUUGCGACUAUUUGAGUGAAAAUUCAUAGUAUAUAGUGUUGAGUGUUUACUCCAUUAUCUAUACAAUCCAUAUCUGUGCUGGUUUUGGGCUCAAAAACAAACAAUUUAGUGUUUGAGUUUCAUUACCUUUCAAUAAACUUGCCAGUGUUUCUUAGUGCAUAAUUUCCUUCCACUUAAACCAAUAUUUGCACUUAUUUGUUGCUGUCUGUUAGACAAAUAUGGCAUCACUAAGUCAACAAAAUGCAAUCUGUGAAGUUUGUAAUAAGGAAUUUUCAAGCACAUCUACCAGAAACAGGCAUUGGAAAAAGUUUUACCCUGAAUUUGUUGUGAAGGAACAAAUAAAACACAUUAUAUGUCCAAUGUGUACUAAUGAUAUCCAGACAUUUUCAUAUUUUAACUGUUUAAACAAACAUUUGCUUGAUAUUCACCAUAUAACUGUCAAAGAAUCAAUUUUAAAUUUUAGGCACGAGAUAAUAGGGAAGUAGAUUAUGCUUGUCAGACCCGAAACAAGUUUAAGAAUGGGGAAGAACACAUAUUUUACAAUUGCAACAGGAGUGAUAUCAGGAUUUAAUAGCGCGUGCAAAGUGAGAAGUCUGGGGGAAGCAUUCGCAUUUAAGGAACAUGUCAACAAGACCAAACUCAAAUAGCUAUCAGCAUAAAAUUGUAAUAGAAGCCCAUAACAAAGCCGAAAAAAUGAAUGGUAAGGUAGAAUUUUUGGAAUUUGGAAAAUUUAAAGUACAAAGUGUUUUGGUAAGUGGUAAGUUCUAUGUUGUGUCUUGUAAUAAACUAUGUGAUGAGCAAUGUCGCACUGGAUACUGUAACAUCUGUAAAAUAUGUUUUCAUAAAUACAGAUGUGAGUGUCCAGAAAAUUCUGUCUAAACAGUACUUUGUAAACAUAUACAUGCUGUAGCCAUUUUUGAGCAGAGGAGCGAGUUUGUUGUAGGUUCCCCAACUGUGAGUGAAGAGGAAGAGGAUAAUGUUUUGUUUGUUGAUCAACCCACAACUAGCCAAAUCAAUUAUCAGGAGGAUGUAAACCAUUUUAUUCAGGAGAGUUCAAAAAUGAAAGUCAAUAGUUCUGCAAUGGACUUUGAAGAAAAUCGAGAAGUAGUUUGAGUAAAAUAUAAGUUACAUUUUUAUUACAUCGUUUAUACUUAUUUUAAGAUUGCAUUGCAAGAGAUUUGUAGCUAUGGUAGAAGUUUAGAUAAAAAUGCAUUUGCCAGAUUUAUGGCUGUAAUCAACAAAUUUAAAAAUAAAGAAGUGGAGGAAGAAAAUUCUCAGGGCAUUGAAAAGAAAAGAAAAAUUGAAAAACAAAUGUACUAUCCAAAUAAAAAAUAAGCUAGAUUUCUUUGUGUAUUUAAUGGCUAGGGUGCAGAAAAGCUAAUUGGAUUAACUUGAAAUUGGCAUCGAACGAGGGGGAAGGUCCUCUAUGAGUAUAUAUUUAUGAAUUAAAAUGUAUACAGAGCAGUAAUUUUUUUCCAUGUUACUAUUGUAUGGAAGUUUGAAUGGUUUGGGCUGUAUAUACAUGACGAGCCGAGAUGACAAAUAAGCUAAAGAAGUGCGAGUCUACAUACUACAUACUAUAUACCAGAUUAAUACAUUUAGCCUCUUUGCAUUUAAUUUUGAGGUUGUUGAUAUUAAAAAUACCAUAAAUUAUUAUAUUUAAAUAACAAAUAAAUUUAUAGAUUUUUUAUUAUUUGAAAUAAACAAAGUUAAAAUAUAAUUUCUACGUUUUUUUUUGUUUUCUGUUCUUAUACUUUGACUUUUUAGUC